rnacentral:rRNA from 1 species
AGAGUUUGAUCCUGGCUCAGGACGAACGCUGGCGGCGUGCUUAACACAUGCAAGUCGAACGAUGAUCCGGCUUCGGUUGGUGAUUAGUGGCGAACGGGUGAGUAACACGUGGGCAAUCUGCCUGCACUCUGGGACAAGCCCUGGAAACGGGGUCUAAUACCGGAUAUUACUGCUGGGUGCAUGCCUGGUGGUGGAAAGCU